rnacentral:rRNA from 1 species
AGUGAACGCUGGCGGUAGGCCUAACACAUGCAAGUCGAACGGCAGCACAGUAAGAGCUUGCUCUUACGGGUGGCGAGUGGCGGACGGGUGAGGAAUACAUCGGAAUCUACUUUUUCGUGGGGGAUAACGUAGGGAAACUUACGCUAAUACCGCAUACGACCUACGGGUGAAAGCAGGGGAUCUUCGGACCUUGCGCGAUUGAAUGAGCCGAUGUCGGAUUAGCUAGUUGGCGGGGUAAAGGCCCACCAAGGCGACGAUCCGUAGCUGGUCUGAGAGGAUGAUCAGCCACACUGGAACUGAGACACGGUCCAGACUCCUACGGGAGGCAGCAGUGGGGAAUAUUGGACAAUGGGCGCAAGCCUGAUCCAGCCAUACCGCGUGGGUGAAGAAGGCCUUCGGGUUGUAAAGCCCUUUUGUUGGGAAAGAAAAGCAGCAGGUUAAUACCCCGCUGUUCUGACGGUACCCGAAGAAUAAGCACCGGCUAACUUCGAG